rnacentral:rRNA from 1 species
GGCCUUUUGAUUAUAAUUUAAGGUCUUGCCUGCCCAAUGAUGUAAAAGUUAAAUGGCCGCAGUAUCCUGACUGUGCAAAGGUAGCAUAAUCAUUAGUUUUUUAAUUGAAAGCUUGUAUGAAAGGUUUGAUGAGAAAAGAACUGUCUCUAUUUAAAAUUUUAGAAAUUUAUUUUUAAGUUAAAAAGCUUAAAUUUUUAUUGAAGACGAGAAGACCCUAUAGAGUUUUAUUUAUGUAAUAAUAGAUAGUGUUUAGUAUUUAAAAUUUUAUUUUUAUAUGAAUUUAGUUGGGGUGAUUGAAAAAUUUAUAAAACUUUUUUUUUAUUUUUACAUUUAUUUAUGAGUAUUUGAUCCUUUAUUAGAUUAUAAGAGAAAAUUACCUUAGGGAUAACAGCGUAAUUUUUUUUAGAGUUCUUAUCGAAAAAAAAGAUUGCGACCUCGAUGUUGGAUUAAAAUUUAAUUUUUGGUGUAGAAGCUAAAGAAUUUAGGUCUGUUCGACCUUUAAAUUUUUACAUGAUCUGAGUUUAAACCGGCGUAAG